ACUGCAGUAAGGUGCUUGUUGCUACUGUAUGAUUUUCUAAAACUUUCAAAUAGAAACAGUAUAAAUUUGAACAUCUUAUGGCUGGAUUCAUUCUUAACAACUUCAGCUCUUAUGCUCACUGUUCUAUAUACAUAUAAUUAUUGGUUUUGCAGCUGCUUGAUGCCUCCCUCACCCCCCAAAAGGUCAUCUUUGAUAAUGUUUCCAUUUUUCAGGUCUCCCUUAAAUCCUGUUCUGAGUCUGACCUUUGACAGAGUGACUGCAGCUGAAAAGAAUGGCAUCACAGUUAUUUAUAAAACACUUCUGGAUCCCACUGUUGAUUUGCUGCCUGGAAGUGACAAUUGGGAAGCUUGUAAUGGAUUCCCAGACAAUCUCAGAUUAACCAGUCUUCAGGAACAUCACACCUUGGCAGCUGUGGAUCCAAACAGCUAUUUUAUGCGGUCUAAGGUGAGCAAUGAUGACAUCUAUAAAAGCAAAUAUUUCUGACUUUCAUAAAACUUAAAAAGAAAUUGACUAGUUUUUUCUGAAUAUGGAUAAAAUUACUGGGUCAUAAGAGGUUGGAAUGUGUGUCCAAUGGAAAACAAUCCAGUACAGGUAGAAAAUAUCCACACUUGCCUCUACUAAUAUUAGCAGAGUCUGUUUAUGUGUGUCAGCUAAUAAACCAAUUCACUAGCUGCUGUUGGGCAUGCAUGAUUUUAAUUAGAAUCGGCAUUCCUCUAAAAUAGAGUGUUUGUUUAACUAUUACAGGAAUACCCGGGGAGCUUUUUUAAAAAGAGCAUCAUUAUAUUGCAGAACUAUAACAUUGACUGUUUCAUAAGCAGUGGUGCAAUUCUUUAAGAUCACCACCCCUGAUUCUGGCUAGGAAAAAAACCACAAAUCUGCAGCUAGCCCAUCUGCAACUAUCCCAUUGAAAUAGCUUUUAACUAAGCACUUUAUGGUAAUAAGGGGAAUUUGGAACUGGUUUUAACUUUGUUUUUUUGAUAUGGAUGAUGUUGUGGAGCAUUCUUGGAACUUUUAACAUUUGUUUUUAGCUUUGGUUUUAUGUUACGAUGUAUAUUUUAAUAUGAUGUGCACCACCUGACGAAAGGUGGCAUAGAAAUCUCCUAAAUAAAAUAAUUAAUUAAAUAAAAUUGGCUAUUAUAUGCUUUGAACUGAAUUAUAUGGCAGUGUAGACUCAUUUAAUCCAGUUCAAAGCAGAUAAUCUGGAUUCAGAAACUUGAUUAUAUGGCAGUGUAGAUCCAGCGUAAACAUCACAAUAGAACUGUAUGGUGUUUACAUAGUCAUAUGGCUCCCACGAUUACUGCAAUGUUUAGGGGAACUCAGAUUUACCCAUAAUAUCAACAAUGCUAUUUUUAGCCUUUUUUUGGCCUUGCAGGUAUUUUAGGAGAUUAACUUGGAUGAAAAUGGUUAAUAGUGUUAAGGAUUUUUAUAUGGAAAAAUCUGGGACACAUUGAUGCUGAAUAUAUUUAAUGUAUUUUAAAUAUCAGUCUUUGAAUAACUACAGAUCAAUAGGCAUAUUUAAAAACAAAGAAUUAAUUCAUUUACUGGUUCU
ensembl:lncRNA